rnacentral:rRNA from 1 species
AAGCGGCUGUCUGGUCUGUAACUGACGCUGAGGCUCGAAAGUAUGGGUAGCAAACAGGAUUAGAUACCUGGUAGUCCAUACCAUAAACGAUGAAUGCUAAGUGUUGGAGGGUUUCCCCCUUCAGUGCUGCAGCUAACGCAUUAAGCAUUCCGCUGGGGAGUACGGCCACAAGGCUGAAACUCAAAGGAAUUGACGGGGGCCCGCACAAGCGGUGGAGCAUGUGGUUUAAUUCGAAGCUACGCGAAGAACCUUACCAGGUCUUGACAUACUAUGCAAAUCUAAGAGAUUAGACGUUCCCUUCGGGGACAUGGAUACAGGUGGUGCAUGGUUGUCGUCAGCUCGUGUCGUGAGAUGUUGGGUUAAGUCCCGCAACGAGCGCAACCCUUAUUAUCAGUUGCCAGCAUUAAGUUGGGCACCCUGGUGAGACUGCCGGUGACAAACCGGAGGAAGGUGGGGACGACGUCAAAUCAUCAUGCCCCUUAUGACCUGGGCUACACACGUGCUACAAUGGAUGGUACAACGAGUUGCGAACUCGCGAGAGUAAGCUAAUCUCUUAAAGCCAUUCUCAGUUCGGAUUGUAGGCUGCAACUCGCCUACAUGAAGUCGGAAUCGCUAGUAAUCGCGGAUCAGCAUGCCGCAGUGAAUACGUUCCCGGGCCUUGUACACACCGCCCGUCACACCAUGAGAGUUUGUAACACCCAAAGUCGGUGGGGUAACCUUUAGGAACCAGCCGCCUAAGGUGGGACAGAUGAUUAGGGUGAAGUCGUAACAAGGUAACCA